GACAGAGGGUGCAAACGUUGUUCGGAAUUACUGGGCGUAAAGCGCGUGUAGGCGGCUAAGUAAGUCGGGCGUGAAAUCCCACGGCUCAACCGUGGAAGUGCACUCGAAACUGCAUAGCUAGAGUCCUGGAGAGGAAGGUGGAAUGCUUGGUGUAGAGGUGAAAUUCGUAGAUAUCAAGCGGAACACCGGUGGCGAAGGCGGCCUUCUGGACAGUGACUGACGCUGAGGCGGCGAAAGCGUGGGGAGCAAACAGG
rnacentral:rRNA from 1 species